GCACUUACAGUUAACCAGGGCAGCUCCAACAGGGCAGAAAUUUGACAAACUGACAUGUUGAAAAGGUGGCAUCCUAUGACAGUGCCACGUUGAAAGUCCCUCAGCUCUUCAAUAAGGCCAUUCUACUACCAGUGUUUGUCUAUGGAGAGUGCAUGGCUGUGUGCUUGAUUUGAUACACGGGUGUGGCUGAAAUAGCCGAAUCCGCUAAUAACUUUUAUUUAUUUAUAUAUAUAUAGUGUGAGGUUAUUAACGAGAUGUUUCUGUGUCUACUACCGUUGCCCUUCGAGACCUCCCCCAUCCUCAAGUUCUCCCCCGCCUCAAGAUCUCCAUCUUACCCACUGAGUCCUCCCCUGUCCUCCUCCACCCUUGUCCUCCUCCCCCCACCCCCCUCAAGAUCUCCAUCUUACCCACUGAGUCCUCCCCUGUCCUCCUCCACCCUUGUCCUCCUCCCCCCACCCCCCUCAAGAUCUCCAUCUUACCCAUUGAGUCCUCCCCUGUCCUUCUUCUCCCCCCAUCUCCCCUGUCUUCUCCCGUGUCAUGUCUUUCCCCUGUGGCCAGACAGCAGCAGCAGGGAGGCAUGACACCCCCCCCCUCUCUCUCUUUCUGUAAUCAACUCCCCAGGGACCACAGAUCAACCUCAUCAUGGCAAAAUGGCUCCCAGGGAACCACUUACUAACACAGUCAAAACAAACAUGAGUAAACAGGUGGAAUUGAUACUGGGGUUGUUUCUGUGUUUCACAGCUCUAAUCAGAGCCAUAGUUAUAUGGGGAAAUUUGGCAUUCACCAUAAAACAAACUUAUUUUUUGGAGGGUCCUCUGUAGCUGAGUUGGUAGAGCAUUGCACAUGCAAUGCCAGGAUAGUGGGUUUGAUUCCCGGGACCACCCAUACGUAAAACAGUUAUGUACGUAUGACUAAGUCAGCUUGGAUAGAGUGUCUGCUAAAUGGCAUGUAUUAUUAUACAUUUUGUUUAUAUAGAUGAAACAUUAGAUUGUGUGAAUGUUGACUAUUGUUCAUUGGUAAUGUUUAGUUGAACCAUAGAGAAUGAUAGAGGACUCUUCUGUUUAUCUGUCCCAUUAUGGUGCCUGUGAAGUGGUCAGUGUUCUUCUUCUACUAUUUCUAUGAGUUGGGAAACAAACUGAAAGGGUGCAUACUGCCACCUAGAGUUAGUUGUUUGAACAGGUAUAAAGCCUACUGUAUGUUGUCUGGAUGAUAUCCUGACGUCUCUCAGAAAAUCUCACUCCUUCAUUCAGUGUAUGCCUGUGACUGUCCAAAUCACUCAUUUAAAUCCUUUCACAUUCUUUAUAUGCUCCUCAGUUCAUUUGUACCUUCAACCAUGUGUUCACUAAACAUUACAAAAGCUGAAGAACAUCCGCGCAUCCAGGUACUUUCCGCAGGUGCUGGAGUUGUAGGCAAACUCAUGGAAAACUCACUCAUCGCAGCUUCAUGUACAAAUGCAACUCAUAUACCCACCCCCGCCCAGGACAAAGAUUUAAGAUCAAAGGCCUGAUUCUGCAUGUCCACCAAGGUUGUUUACAUGUUGAAAAGAGAAAACCCGUAGAAGCCUUAAGACACGGAUCAGUAAACACCGCAGCAAUAUAUGGACAGGAAGUGAUGUCACUGAGUACUGUCCCUAUAUAUAGGACCUUCCACUCCCACCUGGGAUAUGGAAGCCUGAUGAAGACCUACGGGUGGAAACGUUAGAAAUAAAGAUUACCUGGGAGCAUGA